AAAGAUUCAUCGCUGAUAGAUAGGCAUGCGUUCCAUUAGGCAGUUGGCGGGGUAACGGCCCACCAAACCGACGAUGGAUAGGGGUUCUGAGAGGAAGGUCCCCCACAUUGGUACUGAGACACGGACCAAACUCCUACGGGAGGCAGCAGUGAGGAAUAUUGGUCAAUGGGCGUAAGCCUGAACCAGCCAAGUCGCGUGAGGGAUGAAGGUUCUAUGGAUCGUAAACCUCUUUUAUAAGGGAAUAAAGUGUGGGACGUGUCCUAUUUUGUAUGUACCUUAUGAAUAAGGAUCGGCUAACUCCGUGCCAGCAGCCGCGGUAAUACGGAGGAUCCGAGCGUUAUCCGGAUUUAUUGGGUUUAAAGGGUGCGUAGGCGGCCUUUUAAGUCAGCGGUGAAAGUCUGUGGCUCAACCAUAGAAUUGCCGUUGAAACUGGGGGGCUUGAGUAUGUUUGAGGCAGGCGGAAUGCGUGGUGUAGCGGUGAAAUGCUUAGAUAUCACGCAGAACCCCGAUUGCGAAGGCAGCCUGCCAAGCCAUGACUGACGCUGAUGCACGAAAGCGUGGGGAUCAAACAGGAUUAGAUACCCUGGUAGUCCACGCAGUAAACGAUGAUCACUAGCUGUUUGCGAUACAGUGUAAGCGGCACAG
rnacentral:rRNA from 1 species